GUCAGCGCACAGCCCUUGGAUGUCCUGAAUACCUCCUGCCCAAUACAGUGUAGAAAUGCAUGCCCAGCAGCUCGCCCUGGUCCCGCAGCACACCGCUGGCCACUCCCAGGUGAGGAAGCCACGCUGAAGGACGGAGGCCCUGGCCACGUCAAUGAAAACCCGCGCCCCCAGCUGGGCCCCGCGAGCUCCCCCCACAGGGGAACUGAGACCCACGGGGAGGCGGAAGCCUCAGUGUGGCUGUGGACAUAGACCCAAGCCCAGGUGGUGUGGAGAGCGAGCCACGCACUGCCGGGUUUCAGUGGACACCUGCAGUGUUCCCAGGAGGUGAUUCUGGACCCCGUCAGGGCGUUGAGCGGCUGACCUAGAGACAAUCGUGAGGAGCCCACGGCCAGCCACGCUGGGUCUGGAGACCCGCAGAGGAGGCCCGCGCCUUGUGUCCCCGCGUGUCCUGGGGGCGAUCGCGAACUCACACACAGGCUUGUUGUAGUCACCUCUUUUUGCUGGUGUGACCAAAAGACCAGACGGGAACCAUCAGAGGAGGAGUUUUCUUUGGGCUCAGGGUUUCAGAGGGUCAGUCCCUAGACGGCUGGCUCUGGGCCCAGGUGAGGGAACGUCGCGGCAGAAGGAGCUGAGGAGGACAUGUCCUGAGGACAUGGCCACCAGGAAGCAGAGAGAGACAGUUUUACUCCCCAGGGACAAAAUAGAAGCCCCAAAGACACGCCCCUGGUGACCCACCUCCUCCAGCCACAGGCUGGCUGCCGGCAGUCCACCCAGUGAGUCCCUACGGGGAGCUAACCAGGACUCCGCUGCGUGCCAAGGUGCGCCUCUCACAGCCUGGGUACUUCACCCUGGAACCUUCCGGCACCAUCUCACACGUGAGCUUGUGGGGGACACCUCACACCUGGACUGCAGGACGCUCCUGUGUGUGACGGGCGCAGGUGCCCACACCGGUGGACAUACCAGGCUGGACAGAGGGGUGGGCUGGGCGGCUGCUGGGCCCCACCUGGGAUGCUCUGGAUCACCAGUGCACUCCAGACCCAGGGGACAGCUGUGCCGGUGGUGUGGCCGAGCUGUGGGGAGAGCAGGGGCCCUGCCGAGGGCCAGGCUGGGCACCUGAGACUCUGCGCCUACUCUUCUUCUCCUCCUGCCCCUUCCUUCUUCCCAUCCUCCCUUCUCCUCCUCUUUCUUAAAACCUUUUAAACAUAUAAACAUUGCCACCAGCCCCCAAACCACAGGGAAGCCCUGGACCUGCCCACUGGGGUGGGCGGACCCCGCGGGGGAAGACCUGGCCAGGGUCCCCGCUAAGGAGUGUGGGGUCGUCACAGGUGAGGCUUCUGAUGGCAGGACACAGGCCAAGGGAAGUGACUGAGCGUCCUUCAACUCAGUGAAAGACCAAGGGGUGCCGCCCACUGCCUUCCUCACGCCGUCCGCGAGGCCUGACCACGUGCUGCUGCGCUGGCCUGUGGUGGGCCCAGGUGGUUCCCUGCCCCCCCCCCCCCGGGGACGCACAGGUCCAGUAGCAACAGGAGUUGGAGGAUCGAUGCCCUGGCUCCCUCAUCCUUUAUGUGGGUGACACUGCCGGUCAGCCCACCCCGUGUCCCUAGCUCCCACAAGGACUGUGCCAGGUGCCCAGGGCAGCAGCCAGCUCUUCCCACCCAGACUUCCUGUUCUUCCUCCUGCACCCAGCCUCGGUGUGUGCACAAAGGCUGACCCCUGGGCACGCCCAGGCCUCGCAAAAGAGCUGAUCUGCUCUCUCCACACACCUGUCCCCCACGGCCACUCCAGUCCUGGCAUCUGACCAGUCCAUGCAACUGUGGAGAGGAAGUAGAGGAAGAGGGUCCCAGGUAGGGACACGGCACAGGGAAAGCC